rnacentral:rRNA from 1 species
GGUUGAUCCUGCCAGUAGUCAUAUGCUUGUCUCAAAGAUUAAGCCAUGCAUGUCUCAGUACUUGCUUUAACAAGGCGAAACCGCGAAUGGCUCAUUAAAUCAGUUAUGGUUCACUAGAUCGUAAAUCCUACACGGAUAACUGAGGUAAUUCUUCAGCUAAUACGUGCAAACGGCUCGUAGCCUUGUGUUGCGAGUGCAGUUAUUAGAACAAAACCAAUCCGGCCUUCGGGUCGGUUAGAAUGGUGACUCUGAAUAACCGAAGCGGAGCGUAUGGUCUAGUACCGACGCCAGAU